GGGGCUGUGGCUCAGUGGAAGGGCACUUGCCUAGCAUGUAUGAGGCACUGGGUUCGAGUCUCAGCACCA
rnacentral:tRNA from 1 species